CGCUCUCCCGGCCGGCCCCGCGUCUUCCCGCCGCCGCCGCCGGCAGCCCCGUAUGAGGCUGCGUCCCGCCGCUCGACCGCGACCUGCGGAGGCUCCGCGUCCUGGUAACCGACCCCUUUCCUCUCCCGUGUCCUGGCUGCCGUCUGCGGGCGGCGGCGCGGGGCCCGGCCCCCUUCGGCGGCGGUCCGAGAGCGGGCGUCCCUCGCCAUGACAGAGCUGCAGCAGGAGAAGGCAGAAUGGGAAAACUUAAACAAGCUAUUAAUGCGUCAUGGGUUGAAACCGGUGAGUCUUGCUGCCCCCCAAAGCUGCAGAAAUAUAUCAGAUAUGAUUGUCUUAGACAGUCAGUCUUCCCUAGGAAUAAGACUUGCAUUAAAAACUCUGGUGGAAGACACCGACCGACAGCAGAAGAUGAUGCAGGGGCUUAUGGAGGCUAAUCGUCAUCUUAGAGAUGAGAUACGACAGGAACGAGGUCGGGCCUCUCGACAAGAACAACGUGCUAAUGAUUUGGAAAAUGUGGUGAAAAACAUUAAGUCUAAAAUUUGUCAGCUGGAAGAUGAGACGAUAGCUAAGGUUUGCCAGCAACAGAAUCAAGUCAAAGAACUUCAAAAAGACCAACAAAUUUCACAGGCAAAAUAUCAACAGCAGCAGGAAAAGCUACAAGAACAGGAAGAGAUUAUUGCCCGUUUGCAGAAGGAGCUAUGCAAAGUUGGGAUGGAGGAGCAACGGCGUGUUGCCACUCAAAACAAAAUGUUUUGUCGGUUUUGCAAAAGAGCUCCCAAGUCUCUCCUAGAUCAACAGUUCCUUUGUCUAAUUGAUUAUUACGAAUCUCAAAUUAGUCAAAUGAAAAAAGAACUAAGGCAAUAUAAAAAAGAUGAAGACCAGGUACAAAGAGAAGUAAAAAGCAAGGAAGAAUUCUUAAAUCUAGAUGCUACUCCUAAUUAUAGAGCACUGCUCACGUCUUUCCAGAAACAACUCGCUGAAACAAAAGCCAGGAAUGAACAGCUUUUACUUGAAAAUAUAAAUCUCAAGAAAGAUUUGGAAAUAAGACCAACUGCACAGGAAUUGAAACUUUACAAGCACCAAGUGAAGAAACUAGAGAAAACUUUAAAGAAAACUAUCCAAUCUUCGGGGAGUAGUAACGGAGAAAGAACAGAAGAAAAGAAAGAACCUGAGAGUACCGCAGGAGUAGAUCAGCUGCAGGCAGUUUGCCAGCAAUACUUACAAGUUUUGUCCCAUAUUGAUUCUAUUUUGCGAAGUCCAAGAGCUCCUCCAUUAAUAUACAGGCGCAGUAAAGGGCCAGUGCAAAAUUAUAUUAAGGAGAAUGGACAGGAAUGUGGAUUUGAGCACCUUCCGCUUACUAUAGAAAUGUGGGCAGAUCAGCUAAUGGCCCUAAAGGAUUUGCAUAGGUCCUUGAGAAAACUGUCUCUGGAAUUGGUGCCCUGCCACACUGCAGAUCCACAGGAUAACAGAGAAUCCAUACGAGUUGAAGACCUCCAGUUCAUAGUAGAUGCAAUUUUGGAAGAAAUAGAAAAUAAGGAAAAGAACAGCCAGACACCAUCCUUACCAACCCUGUUUGCAAUAGUCUCUCACUUCCAGAAGCUGUUUGAUGUGAAUUCUCUGAAUGGCGUUUAUCCACGAAUGAAUGAGGUUUACACAAAGCUUGGGGAAAUGACCAACGCUAUGAGAAAUCUUCAUGAGCUCCUGGAACUAGGUAAAGACUUACCACCUAGCAUUUGUUCAGACCAUUUCCAAAAGGAAAACAUGACAAGCGAAAGGCUGAUCUCUUCAUAGAAAAUAUGUUGAGCUGCUGAGAAAUGAGUAAACUAGGAAUAUUCUGCGAAGAUAAAAAUAGAUUGCUGUCAAGUGGGAGUUUAAAUAGCAAAACCCCAUUAUUUGUAAGCCUUUAGCAGUUGCUGAGGAAUACCAGGGAGGCAGAAGAAAGGAAUAGCAGAUGAAAUUGAAUUUUUAAUUUUUUUUUCCACAAAGCUUUGUUCCCUGUGAGCUGACUUCAUAAUUCUUCUUGACCAUUUUUCAUUCUCUACUUGAAAGAUAACAAGUUUAAGAAAAAAUAACUCAACCUCUGCUGUAGAUUUCUACUCAGUAAUUCAUUCAAGUGUAAUUAUGUCCCGUCCUCAGGAACUUCCUUCUUACGGUGCUAAACUUAAAAAUAAUGAAGUUGUUGAAUGACAAAAACUAAAUGCCAGUACUCAGAGACAUACUUAGUUACUUCCCAGUAUCCAUUCUCUUCUGGUUUGUCCUUCUGGAGAACAGCAGCUGCUGCUGCUCUUGGGUUUAUAGGUUUGGCUGUGCUGUAGGGCGUACAGCUGGAGAGCAAGGCUCCUGGGCUACUGGGGUCUUCUGAGCCUCAUUCCAGGAGGGAAACAGCCUUCCUGCCUGUAGCCAGCACAGGAGAGGAGGAAGCCUCCUGUCUCCCUAAUAAUCGCAAACCAAUGGAGCUCAGAGGGUGCCUUCUCCAAGCCUAGUUCUUCUGAAACUGAGGGAGAAAAGGACAAGGAGCCUAUUACCUUCAGUCACAGCAGUCAAAGCAGACAGUUCAGCUCCACCCACUGUGGUAGUGGAUACUGUUGGGAAACUGUGUGACAUCAUUAAUGAGAACAUGACGGAGCAGGUACAGCAGCUUCUGGGGACCCAAGACAUCCAC